GCUCUCGUGGUGAAGUGGAUCUCACGCGUCCCUCCGGAGGAUGAGUCGCAGGUUCGAUUCCUGCCGAGAGCGCCA
rnacentral:tRNA from 2 species